rnacentral:misc_RNA from 1 species
ACAAGGUCUCCGUUGGUGAACCAGCGGAGGGAUCAUUACAGAGUUACUACUCCAAACCCAUUGUGAACCUUACCUAUGUUCUGUUGCCUCGGCGGCGUGGUCAGCGCCCCUCUGAAAAGAGGACGAUGCCCUCCCGCCGGCAGCACCAAACUCUUUGAAUUUUACAGCGGAUUACAGUUCUGAUUUGAAAACAAAAAACAAGUUAAAACUUUCAACAACGGAUCUCUUGGUUCUGGCAUCGAUGAAGAACGCAGCGAAAUGCGAUAAGUAAUGUGAAUUGCAGAAUUCAGUGAAUCAUCGAAUCUUUGAACGCACAUUGCGCCCGGCAGUAAUCUGCCGGGCAUGCCUGUCCGAGCGUCAUUUCAACCCUCGAACCUCCGUUUCCUCAGGGAAGCUCAGGGUCGGUGUUGGGGCGCUACGGCGAGUCUUCGCGACCCUCCGUAGGCCCUGAAAUACAGUGGCGGUCCCGCCGCGGUUGCCUUCUGCGUAGUAAGUCUCUUUUGCAAGCUCGCAUUGGGUCCCGGCGGAGGCCUGCCGUCAAACCACCUAUAACUCCAGAUGGUUUGACCUCGGAUCAGGUAGGGUUACCCGCUGAACUUAAGCAUAUC